AGCUGGGGUAAGUUAAUUGUAUUUGAAUGAAUAAUUCUAAUAAAGCAGUGACCUUUAAUGCCAACUGGUGUUUUUAAUUUUAAUUCACUGUCAGUCACUCCAACGUGAGCCACCCCAGGAUGUGAGCAGUGGAAAGGCCAGUAUGUACAGAGAAGAGAAAAACAAACACGCAGAGCUGGGUGCCUGCCGCCCGCAGCAAUGUAAAACGAAAAUGGAUGGCGUAUCUUCCUUCAGAGAAUUUACCACGGGAGAGCGUCUUAACGGCACUUCUUUCUGCAUCGGAGGCACAGAGAACUUCAGUCUUUAAGUAGCAGCAACUUAAAGCCAGAGUCCAAGCUUCCACAAGUAACUCCUGUUCCAGAGUGUACCAUACUUUACCCCAAACAUA